UUUGACCCGUUUAAUUAGGCC
rnacentral:piRNA from 1 species